rfam:Schistosoma rodhaini strain Burundi genome assembly, scaffold: SROB_scaffold0000648
AUCCAUCUGACGAGUCCCAAAUAGGACGGAGUGAUGCGCGUCCCGGAU